AAGCGUGUUAACAGAAAGCGACGAGUAGCCAAGCUAGUACUACACAAGUGUACAACAUUAUGUAAAUAAAUUGUGAAAAAUUAUAGACAACAGAUGUUUGUACGAUUGUCCUCGCCACUAGAAAGUUAUAAUCCACCGACAAAAUUCCCAGAUUGUAUUGGGCAUUUGGGCGCAUACCCUGUGCUUGUACUGUGUCGCAUGAAUGUGGUGUGCGAAACAGCCCGCAACUGUUUGCACCAAAACAUGUGAAACAGCAUCAAGUUGACGAUGAAAUUGCCAACUUGCUAUCUUCAGCAUCGAAAUCCAACACACACAACUGCAUCAUAACGAUACAAAAAUUCUAUUAGUGGGAAGUUCAAAUCUGCUUAUGUUUUCAAACGACCUCAUGACCUUGAUGUUUAAAAACAGCUACCAAUUUGACUAGUGCAUAUGAACUAAUAGACUUCAGGUGAACAGACUUACAGACGCAAGAGAAACAGUUCAGCUCUCCAAACCUUUUCGCGCAACGUGAGUUGUGAAGGCAAGAGCGGGCACGCAGCUGGUACAGCUUGAAUCCGGAAGACCGAGCUGACUGUCUGAGAUUAGUACAUUCCAGGUACAGCAAGAAUCCGCACACCAGGAGCAGGGGUUCUAGGGCCAAUGCCCUCCAGCAGCAGCACCAAAGCUCAAGCUGGCAUCCUGCCCAUGCUUUACGAGUCACCUACCGUGAUCACAC
rnacentral:lncRNA from 1 species